GGGUGAUGCUGCUCGGCUGUGAAGGGCUUGGGGGGAGCGGCUGCUUUUUGUGGGUUCUCUGUGGAUGUGGGAGCUCCUGGACACAAUGCUGGGGUUCUUCCCGAAGGAAUUUGGACUUAAAUGUUCUGUGGAUGUUCCAAAAUACACCUGGCUUCUUCUCCUGGUGUGGCUAAGCAUGUGUGGAGACCCCCAAAUUCUCUCUAGAAGAGGCUCCCCAAGGUUCUUGCGGGGCUGUGGGGGGUGCGCCACGAAGGAGACAACGCAGGAUGGCAGCAGGAAUGAGACAUCACUGCGAAAACGAUGGAGCUGAUCCUCCUUCCCUCCGGCAGCCUGGAAUUCGGACCUCAGGAAUUCGGACCUGGGAUGGGAGCAUUCCCCUGGGAAAGCUCUGUGUGCUGCGUUAAUCCCUCAUCAGCUGCCUCAUUGCUGCCCCAGCUCGGUGUCAGGCUCCUGGUGCUUUGUUGGUCGCCGCCACUUGGAACUCUUCGUUUCCUUCGCUUCCUCCCAGUCCAAGCAGCUGUUGGGUCUUCUCCUCUCUCCUCCCUGCCUCUUUGAAACCAAUUUGAAGGUUUCCUGGGUGUAAAUCUGCUUUUAAGUUGAAAAAAAACCCCAAAAACCAAGGAAUCCAGCCCUUUACCUGCCUGCCAAGGGGGCGUGGGGGGUCCAGAGCUGCCUCACCUGGCUCGGGAAGGGGGAGAGUGGGGUUUGCAUGGGGUCAGAGCUCCCCGAGGACGCGUUUGGGAUGCGAUCCCAUCUCCAUCGAUGGCCCAUCCCAAAGGCAGCAAAGGAGACCCCAUCAGCGCAGCAGAGGGCAGCAGGGCCCUGCUGAGCCAGUCCGUCCUGCUCUGCGCUCCUUGCCCCGAUUGCUGCAAUAGCUCAUGUGCUACAAACAGCCCCAAUUACGGUAUCGAUCUCCUACACGCUGGGAGCUGAUGGUAGGUCCCUCCCCAGCUGGCCUGGUAAACAGAGCUCUCCAUCAGCAGGCACUCCAUGAAUGUCACAGAGCAGCUUCCUCCUCAUCCACAGCCCAGGGAGGAAAGGAUGAGCCAUUUUGGGGGGAGUGGGAAGAAUUUGGGCCACCCCCUGCGCACCACUGGGCACUUUUUUGCGAUCCUAAAGCUGGAUUUCUUCACCACGAGUACCCUGGGGAGGCUGCAAGUGGUAGGCUGGUGGUCCUGUCCUGUUUUUGCUGUGGGCUGGUGAUCAGCUGGUGGUGCUUUAUGGAGCUUCCCAUUUUCCAUGGGUUACUUAAACAUGCUCCUGAGAAGAGCGAUUUCUUCCCACCAGAGAGGCGGGAGAAUCACAGAAUUAUUUUGUUUGGUUUAAGAAAUUGAGUAGAACCACUAACCCACGUCCCCAAGUGACACAUCCACAUGGCUUUUAAAUCCUUCCAGGAAUGGGGACUCCCCACUCCCCUGUGCCAGAACUCACCAGCCCUUUGGGAGCUCCUUGCUCUGGUUUAGGAGGGAAAUGGGAUGUGAUCCGUGGUCCAAGCUAGGGGAUCCAUCUUUUGGGGUUAUUUUUGCAUUGCAUCACAUACCUGAAAGCCAAAUUCCUUGCUCUACCCUCGUGGGAUUUCAUAACGAAUGAGAAAGUUGGUUUGGUUUGGUUUGGUUUGCUCCAGCCUUUGUAGCUUUCAUGGCUGAGCCAAAAUAAUCCAUCACUUGCAAAGCCCUGGCUGCAGGGUCCUUGAGGACAGGGAGCAGAAUAUCCUUCCUGGAAUAUUUGAGGUUCAGCUAGACGUGACCAGACACGUGUGAUGGAUAACGGCGAGUCAUGAGUGGAUGAGAUCUGCAUUUUUUUCUGGCUGGCAAUGCAGUGUGAGGCAUGGAAUGUUUUACUCUGCAGAAGCCAGCAGUGUGUGGGGCAUAUUAAUUUGCCAAA